CCUUAGAAACAAAGUCCUUGGAAGCCACCUUGCAGACAAAGGGUUGUGACUUAAUUUUUGAGAACUGCUGAACUUGAAGCUGGGCCCUCAGCAGAAAUGUCUUCUCUGUCUCAAACCAUGCCCAUUUCUGAAACUACCCCCUAUCUCUUUCACAGGGGACCCUGCUGCACCGGUAGCCAUUCUCCCACAUCAGCUGUGAAUAUCAGCUGUGGGUCGUGUUAGGGUUCUAUUAGCUGCUGCAACAGAUUGAAUCCCAAUUUCAAUGACUUAACACAUUGGAAGUCUAUUUAUCACUCAAAUAAGAUUCCAAUGUCAGAUUCCUAGUCAGUGAGGGUCUUUUGUCAUGUGGUGAUUGAGGGGCACAGGCUAUUUCCCUUGUGUGGUUCUUUCAUCCUAUGGCCUAAAAGUUCUCCACCUCCAACUGGCAGAUAUGGAGAAGUCACAGCUCCUUCUCCUCCUCCACUUCCUCCUCCUCUUCCUCCUCCUCUUGCUCCUCCUCUUCUUUCUUCUUCAACUAUUGUAAAAUAUACAUAGCAUAAAAUGUCCCAUUUUAACCAUUUUAAGUGUACAGUUCAGUGGCAUUAAGUACAUUGACACUGUUUUGCAACUAUCACCACCAUCCAUCUCCAGAACUCUUUCAUCUUUCCAAACUGAAACUCAGCACUCAUUAAACAACAUGAAAUCCCCACUUCCCUCCUUCCCUCAGCUCCUGGAAACCACCACUUUACUCUCUGUUUCUAUGAAUUUGACUGUCUUAGGUACCUCAUAUAAGUGGAAUUAUAUAAUAUUUGUCCUUUUGUGACUGGCUUAUUUCAUUUAGUGUAAUGUCUUCAAGGUUUAUCCAUGUUGUAGAAGGUGUCAGAAUUUCCUUCCAUUGCAGUAUACACCAUACUUUGUUUAGUUAUUCAUCCAUGAUGGACACCCAAGUUGCUUCUAUCUUUUGGCAAGUCACACCCUCUUCUUAACCAUCUUGACCUGCAAGUGACACCUGUCUCUUCUGAUCACAUUCCACAGGAGAAGGUAUGACAUAGCUCCACCUACAUGCAAGGGGAGCCAGGAAGUGCAAUCCCUGGCUGGGCUGCCACGUCUCAGAAACCAUUAAGCCUAUGGAAGGUCUCUGGAUUUGAUGGCAAAUGGCAGCAGAAAUGUGGAAAAGAUCAAAGUGAUGUCAAGGUUGAUCUCUGAGUUUGGCAUGGCUGAACUCAAACAUCAUUUGCCAUGGACCCACAGUGUCUUCAGUAGCUGAGUGUGGUGUCAUUCCCCUAUGAUAUGUGCACUCAAUUGCUGGCCAGUUUUUGUUUUUUGUUUUUGAGAGAGUCUCGCUUUGUCUCCUAGGCUGGAGUGCAGUGGCACGAUCUCGGCUCACUGCAACCUCCGCCUCCCGGGUUCAAGUGAUUUUCCUGCCUCAGCCUCCCGAGUAGCUGAGAUUACAGGCAUGUGCCAGCAGGCCCGGCUAAUUUUUUUUGUAAUUUUAGUAGAGACGGGGUUUUGCCAUGUUGGCCAGGCUGGUCUCGAGCUCCUGGCCUCAAGUGAUCCACCUGCCUCCACCUCCCAAAGUGCUGGGAUUACAGGUGUGAGCCACUGUACCUGGCCCCAAAGUUUUAGAAAUUGGAUCAUUUUAAAUGUUGGAGGGGAGUUCAUUGUUUAGGAUGGCUGUGUGGCAAAUCUUUUUUUAAAGUAAGUAAUUCUCCUCUAUUAUAAGUCACCUCCUGAUCUCUACAUUUAAGGUUUGCUGUCCUGGAUGUGUUCACCUAUGAAUGUAAGUGUGCUGAGAUACACAGUGCAAGGCUGAAGUCAGAGUACACCACUGAUGAACCCCUGGGAACUGGUAACCCAGCCAGGGAAUGAACAUCUUUUAUGAAUCAGUUUAUCCACCAAACACUUGCAGAGAGCCUAUCCCAUGCCACCCCUGAGGGCACGGUGAUGGAGAAGAUAUGCUUCCUGCCUCCAAGAACCCCAUAGUCUAGUGGCAGAGACAAGCAGGUACAUAGCUGCCUAUAGUACAGCAUCACAGGUGCCAUAACAUUGUGUAAACUGGGAAUAAUUCUAUUCUCUGGAUAUAGAACAUCUAACCAAGAUAUUGAGUAUCUGGCUUCCCCUUCCCCACACUGGCCCUCACUGGGAUCCAUGUCUAAUAUUAUGAAAGUCACACAAUAUCAUUAUAAACUAAUCAUAAAUGGCACUGUCAGUUUGCUACAAAAACUUAUUCAGAAAAUAUUCAGAUUCUCCCAUCAACAUAUGCCGCUAUGUUGGCAAAAGCUCUGAUUUAAAAUACUUAUUUCGUUUUCCUCUCCGAUUUUGUUCUAGUCUUCAAAAUGAUUUCAUACAACAUAGCACUGAGUUCCUUAGUUCCUCUGACCCCUGCCAGAUCUGAAGCUGUGAUGUUCAAAAGUCAGGGCAGAGUCCAUCUUAUGAUUGAGUUUCAUAAGAGUCUAAGCCACUGAUCAACAUACUGUGGCAGAGUAAGCUUUCUGGGUUCCAGAAUUUAUUGUGAGUGGGCUGAGGGAGUUGAGAAAUGGCAUGGGAGGCCUAAAGAGAAAAUAACUUUUGAAUGAAAAUUAUAGGAAAGUGGAUUUGAGAUCAAAACAAAGGAAGGUUGAUCAUAGUUGGAAUCAUUUAAGAUUGGUGGGGGUAGUGGGCUUCUGGUUCUUAACCCAGGCCAGGCAGAGGUGUGACAACAGUCAGGGGUUUCUAAACAGGGUGGGAGGUUAGAUGAGAAUAGCCUUCAACCCUUUGUGUUGAACUAAAAUCCUAGCUCUGCUUUCAACUCCUAGACUCUGCUUCAUCAUUGCUAAGUUGGAAAGAGCAAGCAAUUGAGAGUCCCUGCUGGCCACAGCUGGGGUGCCCCAGACCACAGCACUGAGCCUCAAAGGCAAGUGAGCAUAGUGUUGGGAGCUGGGCUUCUGGAUCCAUCAACUCCAUCUGAUGACUCGGAAGUUCCUUCAGUUCCCAACACUGGAGUCCAGCAAGGCUGGUUUGUCUUGUUUUAAUUAUUAUUUAGAUGACUGUUUGGCUCAUACCUGAGCAAGGUUCAAAUCAAGUCAGACCUGUUAAUUUAAUCAAAGUUAUAUAAUCACAUUUGGGCACUUAAAUGUAAACCAAUUAUGUUGGAAGCCAAGUAUCUUGUACUCAGGAGGGAGUUCUAAUAAGUGCUGGGAAUGUAUGCUAAUGCACAAAGCCUAACCCCCAGAGUGGAGGGUGGAGCACUCCAGGGCACUCCUGUUUCGGUGACGUUGUUUUAAUAGCUAGUGCUCUGGGUGCAGUCUGGGAAGAUAUUGGAAACAUCUCAAGCAAGUAUGACAUCCAUUUUACCCAAGCCCAUGGAACCCAUUAUGUUUGGAACAUGUCUGUCUGUGGCAUUUGGCUUGGCUUAUAAAUGCACUAUCAGAAUCUAUAGGAGGCCUUCGCAACAAGACGUGUCUUGGCCUUUCUGGUUAUCAGCAAUCCCUCCACCUCUCUCUUAACAAACAUAUGCCAUAAGUCCUGAUCAGGCAUUUAGUUUUUUCACUUGGACCUUUUCCUAGUUCCUAGUCUCAACCCCAAUGCCUCCUAAUCUUGUACUUCUUCAAAUACUGGCCCCCCUCUACUAUGAGAGAGAGAGGAAAGUAGGGAGGAGAAGGAGGAAAAGUUAUUGAGUUGAUAUGAGGGUAGUCAACCUAAAGCAACAAUCAGGAGUAAGGUACUGGACUUGAGUUUGAAGUGUUUGUCACUAAACUCUCUCAAACUCUUCCAGGCUAACUAGCCUCAGAGGGCUUCUAGCCCAUAGUCUCCUUGUAUUUUCUGCCCUCCUCACUUGGAGUGGGAGGGAACCAGAUGUCCAGUCUUUGUCCCGUGUUAAGAACUGGCCUGGCAGGCUUUGUUGAGACCAUCCAGACUUGAAAGCCUCACAACCAGAUGCCAUCACAGGCACUUUCUGCUCUUAACCUUUGUCUGUGUCUCCUACAUGAACUCAUCAGACUGCCUCUGAAGAGGGACAUUCUAGGGACAGUUUCAUCUUCAUCACCAUCCUGGAUAGGGAACCCUUCCAGACUCAGAGUUGCAAAAGUCAGGGAGGGGCUGCUCACUGGAGGUGGAGUCCUUUGGCCAGGUUUCACUGUAAACACAUGGCUAAAAUGUGUCGCACAUGGACAGGCAUGCUAGUGUGCUCUGGAUACAUGCUAGUGUGCCCCAGAUAUAUGCUAGUGUGCCCCGUAUAGCUUCUGGCUAAAGGACACACCUCAGCAAGGCCAAAUGAGGCAUCAGGAUGAACUCUUCAAAUAGACUUCAUUAGACCCACAGAAGACUAACCUUUGCCUGACUUUGGAUUACCCCUUUCUUGCCAGGAAUUAUGUUCAAUGACUAUAUCUGGAACUAGAGGUCUUGAUAGCCACACUUUGCUUGGUGUGGCUUCUCAGUCUUUUAAGGACAUGGCUAUCAAGGGCUCAUGUUUAUUCCAGGUCAGCCCUUUACCCCUUUCCUCCAGGGGCAUCUAUGGCAACAAAAGACCAUGACAUCUGGCAGGGCUGGCAGGACUAUUUAGUUUAGGCAGGAAUGUGGGUGUUAGCAUGUCAGAGUACAUCUGAGAAAACAUUCCAAACCAACCUUUCCACACUGGGAACUCAACCCCCAGGAAUCACCAAAGAUAAGGGCAACAGUCUUAUCUCUCGAGGGAAGUUCAGGGUAAAGUCCACUCCUGCUGUGGACCAGAGCUCAGGGAAGAAGAAAGCUCAGGCUGGCUCUGCCUGUCCACUUGAUGAACUUCCACAAAUGCCACUCUGGGAGCUGAGGCAUAUGAAGUGGGGAAGAAAAUACCAGCCCUGCCCUGGAGCUCUGGGAUGGUGGCUGUACACCCCUAAAGAUGCCAGCAGAUCUGAACUGUGGCCUAUGUGUGUUUGGGAAUUGAGAAAUAAGGAGAUAGAGGGACAGCAGGCAGGAAAAACUACAAUUAGUCUCAGCUCACACAGAUUUGGGAGUAUGCAGAUCUGAAUUGUGGCCUCCAUGUGUUUGGCUGAAGGAUAAUGAUCUCAGGCCCAGACUUUUUUUUUUUUUUGUAUCACUCGCUCAGGGGGCUCUGACCAGGAGCUUCUUUCAGAUGACACAGAUCCCGAGGAGCCACUUGCCUUCUACCCAUGACACUUCUAAGAGUGACUCUUGCCAUGUGACCAUAGAGAUAAGUGAAGUUUUCUCCAAUGACAUCAUUAAGAAGUCUAAACUUCCCCAAAGGGAGAGGCUGUGACUAGGAACACAAAUGUCUCAGUGUAUCACACUCAUGCUCCCAGAUCUGUGGGCAGAAAAAGAAAUCAUAGAAUGGUGCAUAUCCUAAAAAUAAAAAGGAAAUUGCUUUUCAAGUUAUGAAAUUUGGCCCUUCUCAUUGUGAGUUUAAAGUACAUGUUACUGCUUCAGUUUCUAAAACAGAUCUAUCUUUCAAAACCCAGCUCAAAUCCCACCUCCUUCCAUAAGUCUUCCAUUGUUUAAUAUAGUUGGAAUUUACCUCUCCCUCCUCUAACUCCCAUGGCAUUUUAUUUACACCUCUCUGAUGGCCACUUUCUACUUUCUAUAAGGUAAGUUAUAUACUUGUUUUAUAUCAAUAAAUUUCAAAAUAUUGAAAUCUUA
rnacentral:lncRNA from 1 species